rnacentral:misc_RNA from 1 species
UUUCCGUAGGUGAACCUGCGGAAGGAUCAUUAGCGAAGUCAAGUCCGGAUCUUGUAGGGAUUGCAGCUGGCCUUAACGGGCAUGUGCUCGUCCCUCGGGUCCGUGACCUUCACUACCACACACCCCACUGUGAACCAAGCGGGAGGUCGAAAGGCCUCUUGCAUCUCAUACAAACCCCGAUCGCAUGUAUCAGAAUGUCAUAGCGUUAACUCGCAACUUAUACAACUUUCAACAACGGAUCUCUUGGCUCUCGCAUCGAUGAAGAACGCAGC